AACGAACGCUGCGGCAGGCCUAACACAUGCAAGUCGAGCGGACCCUUCGGGGUUAGCGGCGGACGGGUGAGUAACGCGUGGGAAUAUGCCCUUCUCUACGGAAUAGUCCUGGGAAACUGGGGGUAAUACCGUAUACGCCCUUUGGGGGAAAGAUUUAUCGGGGAAGGAUUAGCCCGCGUUGGAUUAGGUAGUUGGUGGGGUAAUGGCCUACCAAGCCGACGAUCCAUAGCUGGGUUGAGAGGAUGAUCAGCCACACUGGGACUGAGACACGGCCCAGACUCCUACGGGAGGCGGCAGUGGGGAAUCUUAGACAAUGGGGGCAACCCUGAUCUAGCCAUGCCGCGUGAGUGAUGAAGGCCUUAGGGUUGUAAAGCUCUUUCAGCUGGGAAGAUAAUGACGGUACCAGCAGAAGAAGCCCCGGCUAACUCCGUG
rnacentral:rRNA from 1 species